AAUAUUGCGCAAUGGGGGGAACCCUGACGCAGCAACGCCGCGUGAGUGACGAAGGCCUUCGGGUCGUAAAACUCUGUCAUAGGGGAAGAAGGAAGUGACGGUACCCUAUGAGGAAGCCCCGGCUAACUACGUGCCAGCAGCCGCGGUAAUACGUAGGGGGCGAGCGUUGUCCGGGAUUACUGGGCGUAAAGGGUACGUAGGCGGCUAUAUAAGUCAGGUGUGAAAUACCAGUGCUUAACACUGGAAUUGCAUUUGAAACUGUGUAGCUUGAGUGCAGGAGAGGAAAGUGGAAUUCCUAGUGUAGCGGUGAAAUGCGUAGAGAUUAGGAGGAACACCAGUGGCGAAGGCGACUUUCUGGACUGUAACUGACGCUGAGGUACGAAAGCGUGGGUAGCGAACA
rnacentral:rRNA from 1 species